rnacentral:rRNA from 1 species
UACGUAGGGUGCAAGCGUUAAUCGGAAUUACUGGGCGUAAAGCGUGCGCAGGCGGUUUUGUAAGUCUGUCGUGAAAUCCCCGGGCUCAACCUGGGAAUUGCGAUGGAGACUGCAAGGCUAGAAUCUGGCAGAGGGGGGUAGAAUUCCACGUGUAGCAGUGAAAUGCGUAGAGAUGUGGAGGAACACCGAUGGCGAAGGCAGCCCCCUGGGUCAAGAUUGACGCUCAUGCACGAAAAGCGUGGGGAGCAAACAGGGAUUACGAA